rnacentral:lncRNA from 1 species
AAAUUUCAGGUUAUUCAGUAAAAUAUGUUUAGUAAUAUUUUUAUUUUAUAAUACAACACAACUCCAUCUUUGAACCACUGUUCUGCCAUCAACAUUGUUGCAGAACCAUUGAAAGUAAAUCAGCUGGGUUGAGUAACAUUUUUACCUGAUUUAGUGAUUUAAAUUCCAACAGCUGAGAUUUUUUCAAGAAGCUCUAGAAACAAUCCUAUUGUAUCUCAAAUUGUUUUAAAUAAGUAAAAUGUAACAAAUUCAUAACAAAAAGAUGUAUUCACUGAUACCAAGUUUUCUUAAUCAAAAUGUAAAAUAAAAGAGUAAUGCCCCUUUCACAUAGAGUUUCCAUAGGUAUAUUUAUAGAGACUCUGCACAAUUGAUAUCUCUAAGUAUGACCAUUUAACUUGCC